UACGGGGGGGGGCAAGCGUUGUUCGGAAUUACUGGGCGUAAAGGGCUCGUAGGUGGCCAACUAAGUCAUACGUGAAAUCCCUCGGCUUAACCGGGGAACUGCGUCUGAUACUGGAUGGCUUGAGGUUGGGAGAGGGAUGCGGAAUUCCAGGUGUAGCGGUGAAAUGCGUAGAUAUCUGGAGGAACACCGGUGGCGAAGGCGGCGAUCCUGGACCGACACUGACGCUGAGGAGCGAAAGCCAGGGGAGCAAACGGGG
rnacentral:rRNA from 1 species